rnacentral:piRNA from 1 species
CAGCAAGGGAUGACAAGUUCGAUUUG